GUGCCUUGAAAAUUGUGAAAUGAAAAGCACUUCGAACCUGUCAGAUCCUCGGAAGAGAAAUGAUGAGCGUGCUCCGGAGAAAGAAGAGGAAGACUAUUUCAACGAGGACAGUGAUGAAGAGGAUACUGCAUCUGCAUCUGCAUCUGUUGCUCCUAAACAGAAUGUAGAGUCUCAACCUGCUUUGUCUAAUGGCGUUACUACAAGUUACCCACCAAUAAGUCCUAGGUCAGGUGGUCUAGUUGACUAUGACGAUGAUGAGGAUGAUGAAGACUACAGACCCCCCCAGAGGAAACAGCCUGACACUUCAGACGAAGACAAUGAAGUGAUGGAAGCAUUCAGGCAGAAGCGAAAGUCGGCUCCUCAAGAGGAACCUGAGAUGGUCAAGAAGCAGCGACUAAUCAAGAAGAACAAGCCAAAAGAUGGAGUAUUUGCUUCCUUGUGUACCACAUUGAGUCAGGCCGUCUUACCUGGUAAGAAGACAACGAAUGCUACUCGAACCAGUCUGUGCACGUCUUAUGAGAACAAAAGCUUAGGCGAAGAAAAUCACGAGACAAGUCCUGCUAUUUCUAGCAGCUCUUCUGAUAGUAGUAGCAGCAAUUCUGAUGAGGAAAGUCGCAGGGAAAAGGAAUCUACAGCUUCUAGAAGUUACUCCAACAGUAGUGUCUUGCAUAUUACUUCAGAAAAUCGUCAGUUAGGUGGGGACGACUAUCCACUGAUACCGCCAAAAUCCUCGCCUGAAAUGACUGUGAAUGGAUCUUUAAGUUAGUAUUAGCAUCAAUCUUCUAUCUGGUGUCUCAAAAUAUUAUGCUUCAACUCAUGGAUGUGCUUGGUACUGGCAAAUUCUUGGCUUUGAGAUUACAUGGAAAGAGAUCAGCGCACUUCUUGGAAGAAAGUGAAUCAACAGAAUGGGAAUAUAGUUGGUUUUGGGGAUUUUGGUUUCAGCCGAUGAUGAGGACGUCUUACU
rnacentral:misc_RNA from 1 species